ensembl:miRNA
GGUGACUAUGGGAUGCAUCCAGUAGAAGAGGCAUUCCGGGAGGGGAGGAUUUAUUCCUAAUCACAGCUGUCUUCAUUGGAUGAUGGUUGUUGGGAUAUCUUUAAUCCAGAUGUUCUCCUUGGAUAUUGUCCUGUGGGAAAUCCCA